UUGCCUUCACCUGUGCUCCUCUGGCUGACUCAUGGCUCGCCUCAGGUGAUCAAUCAGAGGUUCAGGCCGUGACUUCAGCAGUUCCCAAAGGCUAAAAAAUGGUACUGACCUGAAACAUUAGGCUUGCCCUUCUCAGGAGAGUAACACGAAAGCAUCCACUGUCCAGAAGAUUCCCAGGCUGCUAUGCGUUCCGCUGUCCAGUCAGUAGAAAACAGAACGUGACAGCAAAAGAAGAAAUUACACAGUCAGAAGCCAAAUGGCAAAAAGCAAAGUCAAACUCAAAUAGCCAAAGCCGUGCCAUUUAAUUGCAUAGGACACUGCUCAGAGGGAACAGCUGAAGAAUGCUACAACCACCUUGAAAGACACAGCAGUUGCUCUGCUGGACACACAGAUGUCUGACAAAGCGUUUUACCAUAUCAUCGAACUGCAAGUAAACCACAUCAGGUCUGUGAGAGAGACAAAACCCCCGUGCUUCCUAUGGUUCCCCCCCACAUCCCAGCUUCCAUCCCCCGGAACGCAUCCUCUCCAUUAUCCAGAGGAAGCCGUGGCCAUCACCCGGGUCUGCACUGCUUAAUGCAGAGCUCUCUCUGCGAGGACACCGCACCUUUCUUGCCUGCUGCUCCAACCCUGGAGGCACCAGAGCGUCCUCCUCCAUUGCGGCUGCCACCCGAGGAGCUCUUUGUAAGCACAGGAGGCCGCACAACAGCUGCAGGAGCGCCCCGUCCUGGAACUUCUCCUCUGCACAGGAGCACGACUCGCUGGAGAAGGUUGAUGGUUCUCCAGGGAACGUCUUCCUCCAUCGCCUCCUGUGUGCUGGAUCACGGGUGGCUGGUUAAGAUUUGUGUUUCCCUGGGUAGCAUCACCUGAUCCGUCUACAGCUCCUUCCAUGUGCUGGAUCACAGGUAGCUGGCUAAUGUUUCUAAGGUUUGUCUGACUAAUGUCUCCCCAUCCUCCUACAGCUCGUCUCUUGUACUUGAACACAGCUUCUCUCUUGUAUUCGAACAUGGCUCCUCUCUUGUACUUGAACAUGGCUGCCCGCAUAAUGUAUCUGUUUCUCAGGGUGGCAGCACCCCAUCCUCCUACAGCUGCUUCCAUUUGCUGCAUCAUGGAGGGCUGGCUAAGUAAGGUGGUAGUCUGGGUGCUGGUACCCCAUGGUCCUGCAGUUCCUAUCAGUUGCUGGAGCAUUAGGAGCUGGCUGAGGAGUAAGCUUAUCUGGUUUGUGGUAGCCCAUCUUCCUCCAUGUCCUGGACGGAUGCUUAAAGGAGGUGGAAGCUCUGCAGCGCUGACACAUGGCCCAGGAAACAUUACUGUCAUCAAAGCUGUGGUAAUGUGCAUCAACAGAAGUGGAAUAGACAAAGGAAAUGUGCUGUUACAGAGAGCCAGCUUUGGUUGAUGCCGUAUCUGUGAGUAUCCUGUACAGUGCUUUUGUAGCUGUGUUACCGAGAGCAGAAGUCUUUUUUCCUACCUAAACUCAUAAAUGAAUUUGAAUUUGAUUACAGACUGAAGGAGGAAUUUGUGGUUUUUUUUUAAACAGCAGUAUUAAAAAUACACAGAGUUUGUAUAAUAGCAAUCAUCACUGAGAUAGUGGGAUAAAUAGUUAGAAUAAAUAAUAAAUAAAUAGUAUAACAGUUGA